rnacentral:lncRNA from 1 species
AAACGCAAAACAGUGUUCAUCGUUCCAAAAACGCAAAACCCUAACUCAUCUCUUCAUCCAGGAAGCUAUGGAAUUCAUGCAACCACAGGCACCUAAUACGGUCAUCAUUCCAAAUCCCUAAGUCGACGAAAUCCCUAAUAAAUUUCAAAUCCCUAAUUGUCGCUCCAAAUCCAAACCCCUAACUCGUUCAUCGUUCCAAUCCCAAAUCCAUAAAUCUCUUUCCAAAUCGACUUAUAGCUUCUCUUGUUCUGUCUCCGACAAGUGGAGAACCUUCUCUUUCGUUCUCUCAUUCUGAAUCUGUGAACUUACAUCCUGAUACCUCAAACUUUUUUUUUGUUUCAUAUUUACAUGUUUCUUCAAACAUUUAUUUUAUUCUGAAAUAAAAUUGACGAUUUCUAAAUUUAUUCUGCUUGAUGUUAGACAUUUUGAUUUGGAAUUUAAUGGAAGCUGCUGUUGGUUUUGGUUGUUCUGUUAGGUGGCUUCAGUGGUUGAUUUUAGACAUAGUUAACUAGGUUUGCUCUGGUGCAUUGUAGCUUUUCUCAUCUAUUUUCUUAGUUUUUCAUCUAUUUUCUUUGUUUUGUUUUAGUUUUUGCUGUUGUUUUGUUUGGGUUUGCUCUAGUGCAUUCAUUGUAGAGACAUAGUUAAUUUUUUUUCCUUUUUUCUUUCAUGGCAGGGUUCAGGGCAAGCAGUGGCAGGUAGAUGGUAUUAGAUGUGCAUUUUAUAAUUGCAGUAGUUUCCCUCUCUUGAUAAGUUAGAUAUGCUUCUUAAAUUAUUUUAUAUGGUGAUGUAUUCAUGUUGAAUUU